CUAACCGCAAGGGGGACGGUUACCACGGAGUGAUUCAUGACUGGGGUGAAGUCGUAACAAGGUAGCCGUAGGGGAACCUGCGGCUGGAUCACCUCCUUA
rnacentral:rRNA from 1 species